rnacentral:rRNA from 1 species
GACGAACGCUGGCGGCGUGCUUAACACAUGCAAGUCGAACGGGAUGAUUUAGAAGCUUGCUUUUAGAGAAUCUAGUGGCAAACGGGUGAGUAACACGUAGACAACCUGCCGACAGGAUGGGGACAACAUUCCGAAAGGAAUGCUAAUACCGAAUGAAGUCGAGGGAAGGCAUCUUCCUUCGAUGAAAGAUGGCCUCUAUUUAUAAGCUAUCACCUGUCGAUGGGUCUGCGUCUGAUUAGCUGGUUGGUGAGGUAACGGCUCACCAAGGCGACGAUCAGUAGCCGGUCUGAGAGGAUGAACGGCCACAUUGGGACUGAGACACGGCCCAGACUCCUACGGGAGGCAGCAGUGGGGAAUCUUCCGCAAUGGGCGCAAGCCUGACGGAGCAACGCCGCGUGAGUGAAGAAGGUCUUCGGAUCGUAAAGCUCUGUUGAUGGGGACGAACGUGCGUAGGGUGAAUA